CAAUAGCGUAUAUUAAAGUUGUUGCGGUUAAAAAGCUCGUAGUUGGAUUUCUGUUGAGGUCGGGCGGUGUACACUUCGUGUAUUAUUUGCUUCGGUCUCGGCAUCCUCUUGGGGAACGUCAGGACUUCAUUGGACUGGCGAGAUUCAAGACUUUUACUUUGAGGAAAUUAGAGUGUUCACGGCAGGCAAGUGCUUUGAAUACAUUAGCAUGGAAUAAUAAUAUAGGACCUUCGUUCUAUUUUGUUGGUUUCUAGAACUUAGGUAAUGAUUAAUAGGGACAAUUGGGGGCAUUCGUAUUAACGCGUCAGAGGUGGAAUUCUUGGAUUGCGUUACGACGAACUACUGCGAAAGCAUUUGCCAAAGAUGUUUUCAUUG
rnacentral:rRNA from 1 species